rnacentral:rRNA from 1 species
AUUAUACCGUGAAACUGCGAAUGGCUCAUUAAAUCAGUUAUCGUUUAUUUGAUAGUACCUUACUACUUGGAUAACCGUGGUAAUUCUAGAGCUAAUACAUGCUGAAAACCCCAACUUCGGGAGGGGUGUAUUUAUUAGAUAAAAAACCAACGCCCUUCGGGGCUUCUUGGUGAUUCAUGAUAACUUCACGGAUCGCAUGGCCUUGCGCCGGCGACGGUUCAUUCAAAUUUCUGCCCUAUCAACUUUCGAUGGUAAGGUAUUGGCUUACCAUGGUUUCAACGGGUAACGGGGAAUUAGGGUUCGAUUCCGGAGAGGGAGCCUGAGAAACGGCUACCACAUCCAAGGAAGGCAGCAGGCGCGCAAAUUACCCAAUCCCGACACGGGGAGGUAGUGACAAUAAAUACUGAUACAGGGCUCUUUUGGGUCUUGUAAUUGGAAUGAGUACAAUUUAAACCUCUUAACGAGGAACAAUUGGAGGGCAAGUCUGGUGC